UUAAGUUCAGCGGGUAUCCCUACCUGAUUCGAGGUCAAACUGGGUGGUAUCUUCAUGGACGCGAGCCCGCCAGAUGCCUUCUGGAGCGCAAUGUGCUGCGCGAGAAGCUGGCGAUGCCGCUGCCAAUGUAUUUAAGGCGAGUCCUUGCGGACAACGCCCAACACCAAGCGAAGCUUGAGGGUGUAAAUGACGCUCGAACA
rnacentral:misc_RNA from 1 species